AACGUAGGACGCAAGCGUUAUCCGGAGUUACUGGGCGUAAAGCGCGGGCAGGCGGUUCUGCCAGUCUGAUGUGAAAUCUCUCAGCUCAACUGGGAGCAGCCAUUGGAAAUUACAGAACUGGAGUCUGACAGAGGUAGGCGGAAUUCCGGGUGGAGUGGUGAAAUGCGUAGAGAUCCGGAGGAACACCAGAGGCGAAGGCGGCCUACUGGGUCAGUACUGACGCUGAGCCGCGAAAGCCAGGGGAGCGAACGGG
rnacentral:rRNA from 1 species